UACGUAGGGUGCGAGCGUUGUCCGGAAUUAUUGGGCGUAAAGGGCUCGUAGGCGGUUUGUCGCGUCGGGAGUGAAAACUCAGGGCUUAACCCUGAGCCUGCUUCCGAUACGGGCAGACUAGAGGUAUGCAGGGGAGAACGGAAUUCCUGGUGUAGCGGUGAAAUGCGCAGAUAUCAGGAGGAACACCGGUGGCGAAGGCGGUUCUCUGGGCAUUACCUGACGCUGAGGUGCGAAAGCGUGGGGAGCAAACAGG
rnacentral:rRNA from 1 species